GAUGAACGCUGGCGGCGUGCCUAAUACAUGCAAGUCGAGCGAACAGACGAGGAGCUUGCUCCUCUGACGUUAGCGGCGGACGGGUGAGUAACACGUGGAUAACCUACCUAUAAGACUGGGAUAACUUCGGGAAACCGGAGCUAAUACCGGAUAAUAUAUUGAACCGCAUGGUUCAAUAGUGAAAGACGGUUUUGCUGUCACUUAUAGAUGGAUCCGCGCCGCAUUAGCUAGUUGGUAAGGUAACGGCUUACCAAGGCAACGAUGCGUAGCCGACCUGAGAGGGUGAUCGGCCACACUGGAACUGAGACACGGUCCAGACUCCUCCGGGAGGCAGCAGUAGGGAAUCUUCCGCAAUGGGCGAAAGCUUGACGGAGCAACGCCGCGUGAGUGAUGAAGGUCUUCGGAUCGUAAAACUCUGUUAUUAGGGAAGAACAAAUGUGUAAGUAACUAUGCACGUCUUGACGGUACCUAAUCAGAAAGCCACGGCUAACUACGUG
rnacentral:rRNA from 1 species